ensembl:lncRNA
CAGAGCAUGUUGAAUGGUAGUGAAGGAAAGGACACAAGGAGAGGAGUCUAUUUGGAAGUGUUGGGACAGAGCAUGUUGAAUGGUAGUGAAGGAAAGGACACAAGGAGAGGAGUCUAUUUGGAAGUGUUGGGACAGAGCAUGUUGAAUACUUAGAAAAUGCAUUAUUCCUCGCUUCCAAGUGAUUCCACUAAAUGUCUUUCACCUUAACCGAUGUCAGAUCAGAGUUUACACCAAGGAAGGAAUUAAGGAUGCAUUUCAUUUUUAACUAUUCAAACAGGGGCCCUUUUUCAGCUUGGUUAAAACUGACCCUGGGCUGAGUUCUAUUUCAGCUGGUGUUUCCAGACACAGCCAGGGAGGUUCCUAAGGGUCAGAACAGACAGGGAGGUUCCUACAGGGUCAGAACAGACAGGGAGGUUCCUACAGGGUCAGAACAGACAGGGAGGUUCCUACAGGGUCAAAACAGACAGGGAGGUUCCUACAGGGUCAGAACAGACAGGGAGGUUCCUACAGGGUCAAAACAGACAGGGAGGUUCCUACAGGGUCAGAACAGACAGGGAGGUUCCUACAGGGUCAGAACAGACAGGGAGGUUCCUACAGGGUCAAAA